UACGUAGGGUGCAAGCGUUAAUCGGAAUUACUGGGCGUAAAGGGCUCGUAGGCGGCCAACUAAGUCAGACGUGAAAUCCCUCGGCUUAACCGGGGAACUGCGUCUGAUACUGGAUGGCUUGAGUUUGGGAGAGGGAUGCGGAAUUCCAGGUGUAGCGGUGAAAUGCGUAGAGAUGUGGAGGAAUACCGAUGGCGAAGGCAGCCCCCUGGGAUAACACUGACGCUCAUGCACGAAAGCGUGGGGAGCAAACAGG
rnacentral:rRNA from 1 species